rnacentral:lncRNA from 1 species
GGGGAGCGGGAGAAAGGGGCUGCCCUUUGGGCAGCUCGCAGAGACGCAGGAACCAAAGCUGCCUUAGGCAGAGGAAAAAAACGGAAAGACUGGCGGGGGAGAGAGAGGGAGACACUUGCGAAACCAGAGGGGAGAGCUGGAAGGCAGGCGCACGGACAGAAUAAGAAAAUAAGAAGGGAAGAACGCUGCCCUUUGGCAGUGAGGUCAGGGAGAGCUGGAAGGCAGGCGCACGGACAGACUGAAGCAUCCUCCUCUUUCGGUUAAAUCUUUCCAAACUUCUAUUUUAUUUCUGUUUUAAUAAUGUGUAAAUAAACUUAUUUUGGCUAGAGGUUAAUUCAAAGCCAUGAAUAUAUUUGUAAUAUGAAUUGAUUACCUUAAGUUGUGAUUUAUAAGUUGUGUGAAUUCAAUUUACUUAUCCGUUCGUAUAAAAACUGAUUUGUGUAUGUUGGUUGAGAGUGCACGCUUAAUUUUCAUGCAUGAAUUUGAUGCUAGAAUAUAAGGGAGUUUCACCUAAUCGUUAUGAACUUAUAUUCACAAGUAGUGAAGGUUGCUAGUCAUAAUCACGUUAAGUAAAUUCUUGGCAUAAGUUUCAUGCAAAUCAUAGUAACGAGUGUCUCGUCAAUGCUUAUGUUUUUCAUAGAACUUAAUGAUUCUCGCUUGUAUCUCUAUUAUGCAACUCAUGUAGGGAACUUGUAGGGAAUGUUUUGGGUUGUCGUAUGCAAUCAUCCAACCCAAUAACUUGUGGAAAAACUGAGGGUUAAUUAGUGCAAUUCACGGUUAAUUUGGGGCAUUGAGUAUUAAUAGCUUAUCAAAAAGCAACUGAAAAUCAAUUCAUGUUCAAGUGUGUCAUGUGUGAAGAAUGGAUCUCUAGCUAAUCCAUCAACCAUAUAUUUAGUUUUACUUUUUAUCUCAAUCACAACCAAAACCAAUACCCCCCAUUUAUUUUCUUGUAUCAAAGUGUGCUUAAGUUUGUUUUGAACUAUUUGAGUCUAGUUUAGUGUUUUAAAGCCUACUUUUGUGUUUUUAAGUUUCUUCUUAUAUUUUUGAGUCAAGUGAGAGGUUAUUAGCAAGCCCUCCUAAUCCCCGGCCUAGAACGAUACCCUACUUAUACUUAUACUACAAUUGACAAAAAGAGGGUUUAAUUUGUGUGCUUAUAUUAUUCGCAUCAAAUUUUGGCGCCGUUGCCGGGGAUUAGCAACUUUGCUAAUCCUUUUAUUUUUGUUUUUGUUUAUGUUUAUAUUGGUGUUUGUGUAUUUUACUUUUGAUAUUUGAUUUAUUUUUCUUUCUUUGAUUUUAGGUUCAAAUGGAGCCGAGGGAAAUUUAAAGGAAAGAUGCGUCCGGCUAAAGACGUUAAAUCAAGCGCUUCUUGGGAGGCAACCCAAGCAUUCAAUGAAGGGAGACUUUGGAAUCACUAACCCAAUCAGCUUUGCAUUCUUCCACCCUUAUCUUUACUGCUUUCAUUUUGUUUUGUUUAGUUAGUUGUGUUAUUUGGUUGAUUUCUGUGAGUUUGUGUUAUUUAGUUUAAGUGUGGGAGAAGGUUAACCAAAGUCUCUUUACAUUAAUUUACAUAUAAAAAAAAAAAAGAGAUAAAAUUUAAAAUUAAUGAUAAAAAAAAAAAAGUACAUAAAAAAAAUAAAUAAAUAAAAAAAAAAAAAUUAAAAAAAAAAAAAAAAUAAAUAAAAAAAAAAAAAAAAAAAAAAAGUACAAAUAUUUUACAAUGAUGUAAACUAAUAGUAUUCAUUGGUCGGGUGAUGCUUCAGUAGUAGGCGGGGCUUCAGCAGUCGGCGGGGCCACAGAAGGAGGAGGCAGCAGAGGUUGAUCAGUUGGAGCUUCACUACGCGGUGCCGCUCCAGAAGACGAAGGCAGAUGUUGUUGGAACAAACCCACAAACCUCCGAUGAUCAAGUAAAAUUUGACCAUCGGUGUCCUGCAUCUGGUCAAUCUUCCUCUUCAUGCUGGUGGCAUAGCUGUGUGCGAGCUUGUGCAAUUCUUUAUUCUCAUGCUUGAGCCCUUUAAUCUCUUGCUUGAGACUCUGUAUUUCAGCCACCAACGAUUCAACGUGACGGGUUCGAGCAUAUAGGCGUUGGGCCAUGUUGGAUACGGAACCCGCACACUGCACACUGAGAGCCAGAGACUCCUUAACCGCCAAUUCAUCAGACCGUCUAGCGAGCAGUCUGUUAUCUUUAGGAGUGACAAUGUUCCGGGCCACCACCGCUGCUGUCAUAUCGUUCUUCAUCACCGAAGCCCCCACGGUAAGAAGACCGGUAGGGGAUAUGAAGGUUGGCCGCCAUAUGUUGUCUGGUGAAGGCGGAGCUGCCUCUUCACCAAUGUUCAAGUCAAAACGACGAUCAGAAGGGCCAGACAUUUUUAUGAGGUGGUGAAGAAAGAAGAGAGUCAGAAUGAUCAAGAUUAAACAAGUGCAAGAAGGGAGUGUUUACAGGAGGGUGCUCAAGUGUGUUGUGGAACAAGCUUAACGCCUCUAUAAAAAGAAGAAAUCGGAGAGGCGCUCCUCAGAGAAGCGUCCUCUCGCAAAUCGAAGAGUCGGGGCUCCUUUCUCAAAAGCCGGAUUCUUUUCUCAAAAGAGGAGUUUCCGUUCUCAAAAACCGGAUUCUUUUCUCAAAAGAGGCGUUUCAUUUCUUAAAGGCUGGGCUUGCUCAGAAAUAAUGAGCCGAACCCCGGAUUUCAAAAGAUCAAUUUGUCCAGACGUGUCGUCACUUGUCACACGCAAAUUGCUUUGCGAAAUUCUCGGGCAGUUUGUCGAAGCACCAAUUCAGAAAUCGAAGAGGGAAAUUCAACAGUCAAAGACACGCUAGCUUUCUCAAAAGCUGGGCUUCAACCCACGGGCAAAUCUUCUUUUCCAGAUUUAUCCGCACGUGUCACAUGCUACCUCUACAAUCGACGAUGCUCAGAGCUCGAAGCGCCGAUUCCAGAUACCAAUGAGGAAUCUGCUUUGCGGAAAUUACGGGCAGCUUUAUCAGAAAGCGCGUAAUUUGUACUAUUCAUCCAUCCACCGGCUGCCGACAAUGAGUGAGAGAAUAGUUCCGGUUGUGAAGAAAAGUCCUAUAAGUUUCUACCUUCGCCUUCCACAACAAAAGCACUCUCUCAGCACACCCUCUCAACACUUCUUCAUCUCCGAAAAUGCAUUCCCAAAGAAUCCUCUCGAGUCACUCUGUGUUCCUCAUUCCUUGGGAUACUCCUGCGAACAACCCAUUCAAAGCAAAAGUAUUUCAUAUAUAUAAAGGUUGAAAGCAAGAGUAUCUCAUAUCAUGCAUGCAUUCUCCAUGUCCUUUUCCUUGUCUUUGUUCUAACCUGCAGGACAUGGAGAAAUUGCUCUCGAGUACUCGUCUUCCACUGCUGAUGUACUCCAAAGAAGCUGCCACAUCUAUCCGAAGAACAGAUAAGGCAAGCGAAAAUGAUACCAGCAGCAGCAUGUGGAGACAACGUGCAGAAGAAAACAAGCAGAGAAGAAUGCAGCAGCUUGCACAAUCAUCCCCAACGGAAGGAGUCUGAGAUGAAGAACUAGAGAAGCUGCCACAUCUGCUUGGAGAACAAAUAAGGAAUUGAGCCUGCACAAUCAACUCGAGAGCAGAAGGAAUCUGAGUUGAAGAACUCAAGAAACUUCAACAACAUCGCCAAAGAGCAAAGCCUUGCAGUACAAUAGCAUAAAAUCAUCACUUGCAAGUGAAAAGCUAAGUGUCACCCUGUUCAAGAGGAAAGCUGUGGAAAGUCAACAAGCACGACCAAUGAUUACUUAUUAGUUUUAUUCAUUAUCUUUUAUCGUAAUUUUCAAUUUUUUCGUUUGCAAUUUUUUUUUAAUUAAUUUUCUUGCGUUACUUAACUGAAUUAUUUCUUUUCUUUGCAGGAACUUUUGGUUAUUUCCACCCUUGAAGUUGAUUGCAGAAUUUUAGCUUGGGGGGUCAUCGCUUGAUUUUACUGCAAAUUAGGGAAGUUUUCAGUCUAAUUGCUUUAUUUUGUUUCUUAUUAUUUAUUUAUUUAUUUUAUUUUUAUUUGCAUUUAUAGUGUUUUGACACAUUGGGGACAAUGUCAAGUUUAAGUAUGGGGGUAGACAUCUCUAGAAUUUCAUUUGUUUCUUCUGUAUUGUUGCUUUUUGUUUUCUUUAAAAAAAAAAAAAAAAAAAAAAAAAAAAUCGGAAAAUUUAAAAAAAAAAAAAAAAUAUUGUCUUGUUUCCCUUAUUGUUUUAAUUUUUGAGUUAUUUUUUUUUUUGUUAGUUUCCCGACCCAAUGAUAUAUAAUUGGAUCAAAUUUGAAUCAUGAUUAUUAUCAAGAACUUAGUUAACAACAUGUGUUUUGUGAAAUUCCUAUUUUCUCUUGUUAGUUUUGUACAUGUUUGAUCAUCUUUGAAAAACCAAAUGCACAUAGCCUUGUUGAUGUGAAACUAAAGUAUGACUUAAAGCUUCAUAUAUGAAUUCAGUGUGAAUCCAUAGUACAUAUACAUCCUAUGUGAGUUUUUUGAGCCGAUUGAAAGUGUGUGCAUUUUCAUUCAUACACUCCUAUUCUUUCAUGUGUGAUGAACUUAUGUGAGAUACAUCUCUAGAACUUGCGUAACGAUCUUUCGAAAUGUUUGUCAUUGAUUGCAUGAACUUGGAAAUGAUAGAGGCAUUAGGUUUACCACCAUGGCCCAAAUAACCAUGUUUCCCAAAGAAAAAUGAUAUCAUUAGAUUGCCAAUUUGAGCCGUGUUUGUUGAGCAUUUUAUUUCUUAUCACCAGAUAUGUCUACCCUAUACCUGAAACAUUUUUCCUUACCUUUUCCAAGCAAGCUAAUGAGCAAUGUGAGAUUGUCUUAUGAGAAAUGUUUGUGAAGUACUUUGAAGGUGUUUGGCAAAAGAAUAAGUGUGGGGGUAUUUCAUGUUUGUAUAAAAAAAAAAAAGAGAGAAAAGAGAAGAAAAAAAAAGAAAAGAAAAAGAAAGAUUGUAUACAAAGAAAAUAAAAAGUUUUUCAAGUUUCAGUUAAGAGUGUGGUUGGAGGUGCUAGAAGAAUCGCUGGAAAUAUUGAGUUCUUAUAAAUCUAAACAAAAGAACUGCUUGUAGCUUGGAACUUGUGUUUACCUAUUCUUUCAUUUCAAUAACCCUCUCCCUAAACCUCAUUACGUCCAAUAAAAGUCCUCUUGAUUUAAGUUUUGCAAUUAUGAUUGUGGAGAUGAGAUCUUUAUGCAAGCUUAUGGUAGAAAUUUCACAUUUGAUUCUUUGAGCGAAACACUUUAAAACUAAACACAUGUGUGAUUGAGUGAAUAUUCAGUGAGAAGGUCGCUAGUUUGCAUAUGAUGAUUUUAAAAAUAAAAACUUGAAAUUGCAUUAGCAUGGCUAUCUCACACACUACACUUCAAGGAUGAUUCAAAGAUUACUGCUAAUAUUUGAAUUAGGAAGAUGAACUUGGAUUAGUUCUUUGGUGCUAGCUAUGGUUCUUGAUGAUUUGUUUUCUCGAAUGAAAUUCUAUGAGGGUCACAUAGGGAAACUAAUGUUUUUCAUGUUAGUAUUUUUUCAUGUUUUCUUUGUUUUGCUCGAGGACUAGCAAAAGCUAAGUAUGGGGGUAUUUGAUCGGAUCAUAUUUAUAUAUAUUUUUACUUCGAAUUCACUCGUCUUUUCUUAGUUAGUUCCUUAUAUUUUUAAGCUAUUUACGUUAUUUUUGUGUUUAUAGGAUUUGUUAUGCAAAGAAAAUAAAAAUAGAACAAGUGAAAUUUUAUGUAAUAAAUUCGUCAAAACUGUCUGUGUAGAUUAGCUUUUAAAUAAAAAUAGGAAAUUAUUAGAUCCCAUAAUUUUAGUUUAUAUUUUUUUGCUGAAUUGGACCCUAUGUCCAAAAUAAAUCUACGACCCUCCUAGGUGGUGGAGACCUGAUUAUUAUUUAAUGGUGCUAAGUACUUAGCCAAAGAAAGGUUAUUAAAGAUUCAUACUUUUUGGUGGAGUUUGGUAAAACCAGGUGUAAAAGAUGGAAAGUAUUUGAGACUUGAGUGAGGAGAGAAAUGGCAGACAAAACAUAGCACGCAAGAAAGGAAGAUAAGUGGAACGAAAAGAAUGAAUAAAAGAGGCAAAGAAGAAAGACAUGCACACGGAAUAAUAAAUAUAAGAAGCAUGGGAUGGAAGUGGAACAAAAAGCAGGAGAGGGAGUGAGGAGUGACGGGAAUAAAAGCAAAGAAUGGCAGACAAGAAUAAAAGAAGAAGUCAGGAGUGCAGUUAGGGAGAGAGACUGUGCGGAAAAAGAGGGCGCGGGGAGAGCAGUGCGCACGGAUUAAAAGCAGAGGAGUACAACGUUAUAUAAAAGAAGAGAGUCGGGGGGAGCGGGAGAAAGGGGCUGCCCCUUUGGGCAGCUCGCAGAGACGCAGGAACCAAAGCUGCCUUAGGCAGAGGAAAAACGGAAAGACUGGCGGGGAGAGAGAGGGAGACACUUGCGAAACCAGAGGGGAGAGCUGGAAGGCAGGCGCACGGACAGAAUAAGAAAAUAAGAAGGGAAGAACGCUGCCCUUUGGCAGUGAGGUCAGGGAGAGCUGGAAGGCAGGCGCACGGACAGACUGAAGCAUCCUCC